GCCAGUGUGGCUCAGUGGUAGAGCAUUGUCCUGUGGACCAAAGGGUCCCGGGUUCAAUUCUGGGCAAGGGCA
rfam:Myotis brandtii contig225750, whole genome shotgun sequence.